CCAGAACCAAAAGGCAUGGAGCGGACACGGUGGCUCGACAACGAGGAUGAACAACCAGAUGUGCGAAUCGACCCAGAACACACGAUUCUGUGCUCGAUCGUCCAGCUUCUGCACCCCAUGCCCAAAGAAAAGUUGUGGUUGUGGCAAACAAGUCAUUAUGUACAAGUCCAAUUCCAAGCUUAAUCCUGGAAAGCUUUUUUGGAGAUGUCCUGAUUGGAAGGUAAAUAGGCAGAAUUGGUUUCCAAGCUUAAGCUUACAAUUUCAUCCUAUAAAUUCCCUUUGUCUACCCCUUUCAAUGAUCUUUUGGUAUGUGUUUCAGGAAAGUAGGACCUGUGGUUUCUUUGAAUGGGUCAAAGCUGAAGGUGAAGCUGAAAAUGAGGCUGAUAAUGAGGAAUCCUCUAAAGUGAAUGUAGAAUUGAAGAUUGUUGAGGACCUUACUGAGAUGAUGGACAAUAAAAUUGGUAAGCUGAGGGAAGAGCUGCAGG
rnacentral:lncRNA from 1 species